rnacentral:tRNA from 2 species
GGUCCCGUAGUACAAUGGAUAGUACGUAAGCCUCCGGAGCUUAAGAUUCAGGUUCGAUUCCUGAUGGGACUA